AGGAUAAACGCUGGCGGCGUGCCUAACACAUGCAAGUCGAACGCGCUUUCGGGCUUCGGUGCGAGAGCGAGUGGCGGACGGGUGAGUAACACAUGGGUACCUACCUUGGAGUGAGGGAUACCGGCGAGAAAUCGCCGACAAUACCGCAUAGGCUUCUUCACAAGGGAAGCAAAGUGACGCGAGUCACGCUGUGAGAUGGGCCUGUGGCCGAUUAGCUAGUUGGGGGGGUAACGGCUUCCCAAGGCGACGAUCGGUAGCUGGUCUGAGAGGACGAUCAGCCACACUGGGAUUGAGAACGGCCCAGACUCCUACGGGGGGCAGCAGUGAGGAAUUUUCCGCAAUGGAGGCAACUCUGACGGAGCAACGCCGCGUGCAGGAGGAAAGGUUUUCGGAUCGUAAACUGCUUUUCGUCGGGGAAGAGAACGGACGGUACCCGAGGAAUCAGCCCCGGCUAAACUACGUGCCAGCAGCCGC
rnacentral:rRNA from 1 species